GAAAAACGUGGAUGGACUCCCACAUUCCCAGAGGAGUAGCAGGAGCUCCGUGUUUUAGGGAUUGUCCACACAUAAACACCUUCAGGAGAGGGAAAGGUUACGUGGAUGAAGUCAAACCCACAGAAGAUGAAGGCUGGGAAAACUUCUGGAACCAGCUCCUGAGGAACAGGGUGGGAGCCCCGACAUCCCUCCAGGAGAGGAUGAGGAGCUCGAGGAUUGCAACAUCUCCGAUGUAGGCAGCAGCAUGGAGGGGAGUCCGGCGUUCUUGGUCCUUGG